AAUGCUGACAUGAGUAACGAUAAUGGGGGUGAAAAACCCCCACGCCGGAAGACCAAGGGUUCCUAUCCCAUGCUAAUCAGGGUAGGGUGAGUCGGCCCCUAAGGCGAGGCGGAGACGCGUAGUCGAUGGGAAACAGAUUAAUAUUUCUGUACUUUCAAUCAUUGCGAUGGGGGGACGGAGGAGGCUAGGCAGGCAUGGCGUUGGUUGUCCAUGUGAAAGUGCGUAGGCUGGUGACUUAGGUAAAUCCGGGUUGCUAAGGUCGAGACACGAGACGACGCUCUACGGAGCGGAAGCUGUUGAUGCCAUACUUCCAGGAAAAGCCUCUAAG
rnacentral:rRNA from 1 species